rnacentral:lncRNA from 1 species
AGAGAGAGGAAGAGGGAAGGCAGGAGGAGGGACUUCUUUUCGGACGAUCUGUGAGAGCAAAGCAGACAAGAUGUAGGCAGGGGACUGAUAGUUCUGGUGGCGGAAUCCACCACUGGAAGAUUUCGAACAUAGAAUAGUUGAUGAAUUUAGGAUGAUAGAGUCCGUGCCCAGCGAUUGUGUGAUCUGUUGAUUCUAAACUAAGAUUGUCGGGUGUAUUCCAUUCUGCAACGAUUCAACUGAGCGCCAGUGAAAGGAUUUUCAUGACUUUUCCCAGUUAUUUUCGUUAUACUUAAUUCCUCAGUAUUAACCACUCUCUGGGACUUCGGAGGAGCCAUCUUCUGCCUGAUUGUGACACCUGCCCCGUGAUUCCUCCUUCUGUCCAUUCCAACCCAGCAGGUCCAGAGUUUUCACAGACAUAUACUUGCUAGACAUCAUUAAUGCAAGCAGCUCACCAUGCUCUGACCACUCAGUAUGAGGAGUAUAAAGUCCUUUCAUAUCUGCUAUCACCCAGAAAGACUGCAGUUAUUUCCCGUUAAUCUCUAUCAAGAGCAAACCUGUUUCCGAAGCACAUUCUCAACCUGGCUCCUUGCUCCUCAGGGUUAUUCUCUCGUUCUGGCUGAAAUGUCAUUGUCUUGCGGGUAGUCUUGAUGUCUUUUUGCACAAAUGUGAAUUUUCCCUUCCUGAGUAUCACGUAAUUUUGAUUGUAUUUCACCAGGUAUGUAUUUUACUUCAAAAUGAUCCAAACUUAUAUUUUAACCAAACACGGGGGAAUUUCAUUGCUGCCACAUCUAGCAGACGGCACAAAAUAGCACCUGGUUGGAGGAACUAAUUAGGGAUGUUUCUGCACAACGAAUCAGAAGAAUGAAAAGACGUGGAAACCUCUCCUGUCUGAAAUUCAAGCUCACACUCCUGUCCUCUGUUCCUUUCCUUAAAGCUCCACUGGAUGCGGGACUAUUUUUCAAAAUUAAAGUGACCAACACUGGAGAUAAAGUAGUUGGGAUUAAACCUGAAGGCUUAUUUCACCACACUAAAGGAAAGAAAGACCACUGUAUUGUGUCUUACGAAGGCCAUGGUAGGAGGAUGGAGUGUCUGCUGAUCUAUAUGAACAAGGAGCGGCUGGAAAACCAGAAACGUAACUUCUGGAAGUUGGAGCUAUCCAUCUGGCUUACUUACUGAGAACUGUAGGCACCCGCACUGCAAGCAUUAUUUAUAUACUAAGUAAUGCAUUUAAGAUUUAUGAGGAAUGAGAAGUCACACCACACCUAGAAGGGUGUGAACACGGAAUGCCUGCACUCAGGGAGAGAUCUGCGUCAGCUGUAUUUUUGAUCAAAAGUUGUUCCCAUAGUGACAACACUCUCCCCCUUAUCAGUAUUUCUUCUUGUUACUUGGUUACCAAAAUAUGAAAUGAAUACUGAAUGCAGGUCAUGAGCAUGAGAGCGAAUAUAAAGCUAACUAGUUAUCUAGGUCUAACUCUGUCAUGAUUUUUCUUUAUAUUUUUGGUGGUGGUUAAAUACAUAAAUAUAUUCAGUGGUCUAAGUAUAGAACCCAAUAUGAAGCCCACAGCCUCCAAAUGCCUAUUGUAACUUCCCAGAAGUUCACUGAGGUAUACAAACCUUAGGUCUAAUAAAUUCACUGUGUAAUUUUUUUAUUUACAUAAUUGUUAAAAUAAAAUUUAUUAAAAUGUAU